rnacentral:rRNA from 1 species
GACGAACGCUGGCGGCGUGCUUAACACAUGCAAGUCGAACGGAAAGGCCCUGCUUGCAGGGUACGCGAGUGGCGAACGGGUGAGUAACACGCGGGUUAUCUGCUCUGCACUUCGGGAUAAGCCUGGGAAACUGGGUCUAAUACCGGAUAGGAGCGCUUCUUAGUGAUAUGGGUGGAAAGUUGUUUCGGUGUGGGAUGAGCACGCGGCCGAUCAGCUUGUUGGUGGGGUAAUGGCCUACCAAGGCGGCGGCGGGUAGCCGGCCCGGAAGGGUGGACGGCCACAGUGGGACUGGGAUUCGGACCAGGCUCCUACGGGGAGGAGAAGUGGGGGAUGGUGCUAAAGGGGAGCGAGCCUGAUGCAGCGACGGCGAGGGGGGGAGGGCGGACUUGGGGUUGGGAACUCAUUUCGCUAGGGGCGGAGCUUUUAGUGACGGUACCUGGCUAAGAAGCACCGGCUAACUACGUG